rnacentral:rRNA from 1 species
UACGAAGGGGGCUAGCGUUGCUCGGAAUGACUGGCGUAAAGGGCGCGUAGGCGGAUGGUACAGUCAGAUGUGAAAUUCCUGGGCUUAACCUGGGGGCUGCAUUUGAUACGUAUUGUCUAGAGUGAGGAAGAGGGUCGUGGAAUUCCCAGUGUAGAGGUGAAAUUCGUAGAUAUUGGGAAGAACACCGGUGGCGAAGGCGGCGACCUGGUCCUUGACUGACGCUGAGGCGCGAAGCGUGGGGAGCAAACAGG